UACGUAGGGUGCGAGCGUUAAUCGGAAUUACUGGGCGUAAAGCGUGCGCAGGCGGUCUGUUAAGACCGAUGUGAAAUCCCCGGGCUCAACCUGGGAACUGCAUUUGUGACUGCAUCGCUGGAGUACGGCAGAGGGGGAUGGAAUUCCGCGUGUAGCAGUGAAAUGCAUAGAUAUGCGGAGGAACACCGAUGGCGAAGGCAAUCCCCUGGGCCUGUACUGACGCUCAUGCACGAAAGCGUGGGGAGCAAACAGG
rnacentral:rRNA from 1 species